GACAGGUGGUGCAUGGUUGUCGUCAGCUCGUGUCGUGAGAUGUUGGGUUAAGUCCCGCAACGAGCGCAACCCCUAUCCUUAGUUGCCAGCAUUCAGUUGGGCACUCUAGGGAGACUGCCGGUGACAAACCGGAGGAAGGUGGGGAUGACGUCAAAUCAUCAUGCCCCUUAUGAGUUGGGCUACACACGUGCUACAAUGGACGGUACAAAGGGCAGCGAGACCGCGAGGUGGAGCCAAUCCCAUAAAGCCGUUCCCAGUUCGGAUUGCAGGCUGCAACUCGCCUGCAUGAAGUCGGAAUCGCUAGUAAUCGCAGGUCAGCAUACUGCGGUGAAUACGUUCCCGGGUCUUGUACACACCGA
rnacentral:rRNA from 1 species